CCUACGGGAGGCAGCAGUGGGGAAUCUUGCGCAAUGGGCGAAAGCCUGACGCAGCAACGCCGCGUGCGGGAUGAAGGCCUUAGGGUUGUAAACCGCUUUUAACAGGGAUGAAAAUGACAGUACCUGUAGAAUAAGGUGCGGCCAACUACGUGCCAGCAGCCGCGGUGACACGUAGGCACCAAGCGUUGUCCGGAUUUAUUGGGCGUAAAGAGCUCGUAGGCGGUUCAGUAAGUCGGGUGUGAAAACUCUGGGCUUAACCCAGAGACGCCACUCGAUACUAUUGUGACUAGAGUUCGGUAGGGGAGCGGGGAAUUCCUAGUGUAGCGGUGAAAUGCGCAGAUAUUAGGAGGAACACCGGUGGCGAAGGCGCCGCUCUGGGCCGAUACUGACGCUGAGGAGCGAAAGCGUGGGUAGCAAACAGGAUUAGAUACCCUGGUAGUCCACGCCGUAAACGGUGGGCACUAGGUGUGGGUACCAACCAACGGUAUCCGCGCCGUCGCUAACGCAUUAAGUACCGCCCGUCGGUAGGGUACGUACCGACCGACGUAAAACGUUAACCUAACGAAAGUAGUACGGACCGUGAGGAACGUACGCGAACGGACGGACCAACCAACGGGAGGGUAAGGAG
rnacentral:rRNA from 1 species